rnacentral:rRNA from 1 species
CUACGGGCGGCACCAGUGGGGAAUAUUGGGCAAUGGGCGCAAGCCUGACCCAGCAACGCCGCGUGAGGGAAGAAGGUUUUCGGAUUGUAAACCUCUGUCCUUGGGGACGAAGAAGUGACGGUACCCAAGGAGGAAGCUCCGGCUAACUACGUGCCAGCAGCCGCGGUAAUACGUAGGGAGCAAGCGUUGUCCGGAAUUACUGGGCGUAAAGGGUGCGUAGGCGGCAUAUUAAGUCAGGUGUGAAAUACCCGGGCUCAACCCGGGGGCUGCAUUUGAAACUGAUAUGCUUGAGUGUGAGAGAGGAAAGUGGAAUUCCUAGUGUAGCGGUGGCAUGCGUAGAUAUUAGGAGGAACACCAGUGGCGAAGGCGACUUUCUGGCUCAUAACUGACGCUGAGGCACGAAAGCGUGGGGAGCAAACAGGAUUAGAUACCCUGGUAGUC